GUGCUCACUUUGGCAGGGCAUACAUUAAAGAUGGAAUAAUACAGAGAAGAUUAGUAUGACCCGUGCAAGGAUGACAUGUGGAUUCCUAAGGUAUGUCGUAUUUAA
ensembl:snRNA U6 U6 spliceosomal RNA